CUAUGUACAUCUAUGUACAUUAUAAUUGCUGUUGCCUCUUUGCUACAGUAUUUUACCUCAGCAAAGAAUUUGUCCUCCAUUUUGCAAUUAAUUACAAUGCUGCCACUGCUCUUCUAUCUUUAUGAAUGGACAAAAUACUAACACGUAGCCAUCUGUUCUCUCCUUUCUGCGCCAGAACCCACGUGCUCACUCUUACGGAUGUACACAUACAAAAUAUAAUUGAAGAUCCACGUUAUCAGUCUCGCCAAGCUUCUGCCAGAAGGAACGUGUAUGGUGCUUGGGAGCAAUAUCUUGGGUUGGAGCACCCUGACAAUACUCCUAAAAGAGCUUUUGCUGCAAACCAGUGGAAUUUUGUGUUCUUACCACUGGGAAGGCCAGAGUAUUUGCUGGACUCGGAUGUCGUAUCCAGCCGUUCCCAGGAUGAAGGGGAUUCCACAAGAUCGUGGCACCUGUUCACCUCUGGAGAUAUGGUCCAAGAGUGUUCCACUGCUAAAGAUCCUCAGUUUUCUGAGGAUUCUGACAAUGGUUAUUCUUAUGGUUCUUCCAGCACUGAUGAUGACUGCAACCCUGCUAUGGAUGUAGAUACCGACAGUGGUGAAUAUGAGGAAGCGAUGGAGCAAGUUGCACAGGCGAUCCUGCUCAAUCCUGCAUUAGCUAUCUCCUCCUGAGUCUAUGGUGCUAGACCCUCACAAUUUAGAGUUAUGGCUAAAGAAAGGAUCAACUGCAGAUAUAAUAUUUAAGAUACCAUUUUUUAUAAGCCACAGUAUUCACUUAUGAUUCUUCUCGAAGGAGAUUUUAUACUAACAGUUCUUAAGGCCUAUUUUAAAGGAAACUGCUGAAGAUGAAGCUGCUGUCAAUUUCCUGCUUGACGAGGUAAUCUUCGCUGCAGGGACAAGUUGUCUUGAUCCAAAUCUUUUGGAUUCUCCUGUUUUGGACAACUGAUAGAAACAAAGUUGGCAAAGAAUUCGGAAGAAAUUCAAGUUUCACCUUAGUCAGCAGCCCUACAAAAGUUAACUUCUUCCAGAUUACCUGUGCUAUGCAUGAUGCAUUAAUAAAGUGACUUAAUUUUAAUGUCCGAGAGUUUUCAGAAGUUGCCUAAGCACGUCGAUUUUUUUACUGUAGUAGAGAAGAUACAUAUUUGUGUGUGGCCAAUUUUUUUUCUAUUACAUUAAUUUGUACUACA